UAACAAAUAAACUCGCACACGCGAACACAGGUAUACGUACACUGUAAUUCUUACCUUCAGGUCAUUGCUACGUACAUUGCGCUCCGGGCAACGACUGCAAAAACCACAUCCCAGUUGAAUUCGUUUCAAAGUUAUGGAUAAUUUUUCUUCCACGUAUCUCAACUGUUACGCCAGUUUGCCAGCUGGACGCGUGCGGAUCCAUGAUAAUAAGCAAUACUAAUUCGAGGAAUCCUGGAGUGAUUAGACCUGCACCGGUCGAAAGUAGUUUCGAGUUUCGAGGGUUUACUCGCGAAGGCACGCGUCUUCGUCGUUGACCCGACAAUGAGCCACGGGUAGUGGAGAGCUAGCUCGGUUUCUGUCGCCUUAGGGCAGCGCUUUGUUCAAAAGGAUUUGUUCGGGGAUAGUUGGUGUCCGCGCAGUCUCCUCUACUCGGACUUCUUUAACUUUGUCUUCGCCGCGUCCUCGGCAUUUGCGGAAUGGCAGAUGGGACUCUGAGUGCGGUUCAAAAUGUGAGCAACACACAGCUCGCUUUGGAGACCCAAAGGCGUACAGCUCGAGGGCGGAGAGCUGAAAGGAAUCGGGAUAGCGUCAUCGGAGAGAAAUUACAUAAAAUCGUACGAGUCGCCGGUUGUAACGGGCAAUGUGGAGAUGAAUAAUACGUAUUGUGCAUUUAAAGUAAGCCGGUGUAAAAGUACUGUAACAAAUCUGACCGAAAGCGAGCUAAGGCGUUUACCGUCCCGAAGGCAUUAUACCGACAACCGGCUACCAAGGUGUAAA